AACUGUACCUACUGCUUGAUACACCCAUGAUCGUCAUUGUAACCCUGGCGAUAUUCAGAGCACAAUAUCGUGGUUUGGAGUUUGAAAUCUACCACUAGUGAGUCGUGUGAACAGCUGUACAGCGUAAGUGUUCGCAACAUUACAAGAUGUAAAUAUGUUUUUUUUUGGACUGUGAAAUUAUAUGAACUGUGUUAUCUGUUCUUUAGAGGGGAGAUCAUUUGUGUUUUUCCACGUGCUUUGCAUGCACCCAACACACCGGAACGUAUUGAGUAAGUGUGUCUGCAUCUCACAACAUUGGGUUGUAAUGAUAUUUGUUCUGCACUUUAAGUUUAAUGUAAAUGUAAAGUAUUGUGGCUUGGAAAUAAUGUAUUUUUAUUUCUGUUUCCCUAUUAAGCAAGCUACUGCUGUUGUCUAUUAUGGUGUAAUUGUCUUUAAUCUGUUAGAUAAUUUUCUUUGAUCUCUUAGAUCACUUUUAGAACUCUUAAAACCUUAAAAUUCAGUUAACAUCUCAGUCUUUCAUCUUAUUGGUGUACAAUUUUUCAUUGUUCAGUC